GACGAACGCUGGCGGCAUGCCUAACACAUGCAAGUCGAGCGAGUAGAUCCCUUCGGGGUGAAGCUAGCGGCGGACGGGUGAGUAACACGUGGGCAACCUGCCUCAUAGAGGGGAAUAGCCUUCCGAAAGGGAGAUUAAUACCGCAUAAGAUUGUAGCUUCGCAUGGAGUAGCAAUUAAAGGAGCAAUCCGCUAUGAGAUGGGCCCGCGGCGCAUUAGCUAGUUGGUGAGGUAACGGCUCACCAAGGCGACGAUGCGUAGCCGACCUGAGAGGGUGAUCGGCCACAUUGGGACUGAGACACGGCCCAG
rnacentral:rRNA from 1 species